rnacentral:rRNA from 1 species
GAUGAACGCUAGCGGAAGGCUUAAUACAUGCAAGUCGAGCGGUAGAUGGCUUCGGCCAUUGAGAGCGGCGCACGGGUGAGUAACGCGUACAUGACCUGCCUGUCAGAAGGGGAUAGCCCUGGGAAACUGGGAUUAAUACCCUAUGGUAUUGAUAUUAUGAAUGAUAUCAAUUAAAGUUGAGGCGCUGACAGAUGGAUGUGCGUCUGAUUAGCUAGUUGGUAGGGUAACGGCCUACCAAGGCGACGAUCAGUAGGGGGCGUGAGAGCGUGGUCCCCCACACGGGUACUGAGACACGGACCCGACUCCUACGGGAGGCAGCAGUAAGGAAUAUUGGUCAAUGCCCGCAAGGGUGAACCAGCCAUUCCGCGUGGAGGAUGAAGGCCCUAUGGGUUGUAAACUUCUUUUAGAUGGGAAGAAAAUGCUAGAUGUAUCUGGUACUGACGGUACCAUCAGAAUAAGCACCGGCUAACUCCGUG